rnacentral:lncRNA from 1 species
UCACCAUGACUUGCCUACUGUACCUCAUGCACUUUCAGCAGUAUAUGGGGAAAGAGAUCAGCAGAGUUGCGUAAGAGAAGCUCUUCGCUAUGGUAAUGUCAAGCAGCUGCAGUAAUAAAUUCCGGAUUGUUUGGCAAAAUCCUUUCAUUCAUCUAAGAGAUACCUGAAGUUAACCAAAUUUGUUCCUUUUCUCAGAUUAAUAUCACCUGAAGUACUUUAACAACAGGAACAACAACAGAGCACCUGCAAGGACAACACAGAAUUAAAGUGACAAGAAUAUUAGCUUAAGAGGCAUUCUUCAUUUGAUUCAGGAUCAGCAUAUUCCAAAAUGAACUGAGGUAAGGAUGUCUCUUCAACCAAAAAUAAUUCAGAUUAUCAGUUAGGGAAUACUAGAUUCCCCUUCCAGCUCCCAAAUGUCCCACACAUUCACUGCAAGUAUUUCCAUCAAAAGUUUGUAGUCUUCUUAAAUAACUAGAGUUGGAUUUUUUUAGUACAUAGUACUUUUUUAAUGAAGUAACAACAUUUUAAAAUUCAGAAACAAGCUCUCUUUAUUGUAUUUAACACCACAUCCAUCCUUACUGAAAAUGCAAGUACACUCCAAUCAACUGUUUCAGCAUUA